rnacentral:rRNA from 1 species
CGAAUGCUGACGUGAGUAACGACAAAACGGGUGAAAAACCCGUUCGCCGAAAGACCAAGGGUUCCAGUCCAACGUUAAUCGGGGCUGGGUGAGUCGACCCCUAAGGCGAGGCCGAAAGGCGUAGUCGAUGGGAAAAUGGUUAAUAUUCCAUUACUUCUGUGUAAUGCGAUGAGAGGACGGAGAAGGCUAAAUCAGCCUGGCGUUGGUUGUCCAGGUGAAAGGAUGUAGGCAUGUAUCUUAGGCAAAUCCGGGGUACUCUAUGCUGAGAUCUGAUAGCAAGCUGUACUUGUACAGCGAAGUGGUUGAUGCCAUGCUUCCAGGAAAAGUCUCUAAGCUUCAGUUACACAGGAAUCGUACCCGAAACCGACACAGGUGGUCAGGUCGAGUAGACCAAGGCGCUUGAGAGAACUCUGCUGAAGGAACUAGGCAAAAUGGUACCGUAACUUCGGGAGAAGGUACGCUGUUGUUGGUGAUGGAACUCGCUUCCUGAGCUGACGACAGCCGCAGAAACCAGGCCGCUGCAACUGUUUAUUAAAAACAUAGCACUCUGCAAACACGAAAGUGGACGUAUAGGGUGUGAUGCCUGCCCGGUGCUGGAAGGUUAAUUGAUGGGGUUAGCGUAAGCGAAGCUCUUGAUCGAAGCCCCAGUAAACGGCGGCCGUAACUAUAACGGUCCUAAGGUAGCGAAAUUCCUUGUCGGGUAAGUUCCGACCUGCACGAAUGGCAUAAUGAUGGCGGCGCUGUCUCCAGCAGAGGCUCAGUGAAAUCGAAAUCGCUGUGAAGAUGCAGUGUACCCGCGGCUAGACGGAAAGACCCCGUGAACCUUUACUGCAGCUUGACACUGAACUUUGACCUUACUUGUGUAGGAUAGGUGGGAGGCUUUGAAGCUGGAACGCUAGUUCCAGUGGAGCCGUCCUUGAAAUACCACCCUGGUAAUGUUGAGGUUCUAACUCUGUCCCGUGAUCCGGGACGAGGACCGUGUCUGGUGGGUAGUUUGACUGGGGCGGUCUCCUCCUAAAGAGUAACGGAGGAGUACGAAGGUGCGCUCAGCGUGGUCGGAAAUCACGCGUAGAGUAUAAAGGCAAAAGCGCGCUUAACUGCGAGACCCACAAGUCGAGCAGGUACGAAAGUAGGUCUUAGUGAUCCGGUGGUUCUGUAUGGAAGGGCCAUCGCUCAACGGAUAAAAGGUACUCUGGGGAUAACAGGCUGAUACCGCCCAAGAGUUCAUAUCGACGGCGGUGUUUGGCACCUCGAUGUCGGCUCAUCUCAUCCUGGGGCUGAAGCAGGUCCCAAGGGUAUGGCUGUUCGCCAUUUAAAGAGGUACGCGAGCUGGGUUUAGAACGUCGUGAGACAGUUCGGUCCCUAUCUACCGUGGGCGCUGGAAAUUUGAGAGGAUCUGCUCCUAGUACGAGAGGACCAGAGUGGACGAACCUCUGGUGUACCGGUUGUGACGCCAGUCGCAUCGCCGGGUAGCUAUGUUCGGAAGGGAUAACCGCUGAAAGCAUCUAAGC